UACGUAGGGGGCGAGCGUUGUCCGGAAUCAUUGGGCGUAAAGCGCGUGUAGGCGGCCCGGUAAGUCCGCUGUGAAAGCCCGGGGCUCACCCCCGGAAGGGCAUUGGAAACUGGCGGACUCGAGUCCCGGAGAGGAAGGUGGAAUUCCUGGUGUAGCGGUGAAAUGCGUAGAUAUCUGGAGGAACACCGGUGGCGAAGGCGGCAUCCUGGACCGACACUGACACUGAGGAGCGAAAGCCAGGGGAGCAAACGGG
rnacentral:rRNA from 1 species